rnacentral:rRNA from 1 species
CCCUUAGAUGUCCUGGGCCGCACGCGCGUUACACUGAUGCAUUCAACGAGCUUAUAACCUUGGCCGAGAGGCCUGGGCAAUCUUGUUAACGUGCAUCGUGAUAGGGAUAGAUUAUUGAAAUUAUUAAUCUUGAACGAGGAAUUCCUAGUAAACGCAGAUCAUCAAUCUGCAUUGAUUACGUCCCUGCCCUUUGUACACACCGCCCGUCGCUACUACCGAUUGAAUGAUUUAGUGAGUACCAGGGACCGAGCGCUUUGGUUGGGUUUCCUUCCCUAGCGCUUGGGAACUGUCGCAAACUUGACCAUUUAGAGGAAGUAAAAGUCGUAACA